UUCGCCAUAACUCAGACGGUUAGAGCGUGGGUCCAAUAAGCCCAAGGUCGCAGGUUCGACCCCCGCUGACGGCA
rfam:Heligmosomoides polygyrus genome assembly, scaffold: HPBE_scaffold0007879